AUUUAGUUUAUAGUCUAUGUCUGAUUCUUUCCUCUUCUCUGUGCAAAAUAAAUUUGGAGUUAAGGAGCGCUUUGCUAUGAGCGGGGAGCCUCAUUAACCACCUGACGAGGAAGAGUCUUGACUGCUGCGUCCCUCACUGAGGCUGUCUUCAGACUUUGGGCAGAGCUGCUAUUCAUGCACCUUCUAAGACCCUUGUUGGUUCUGACAAUGAGGCAACGCUGAGCAGGACAUGUGACCUGUGACCUGGUCUGGAAUCAAUAUGUUUGUCUUACUAAAAAUUAACAAAGGCAGUUCCAUACUCCUCUCGACAGUGAUUCUUAGCAUCUCAUCAACACCGUGAGCCCCCUGUCCAACGAUGAGAGACCCCGGGUGUGUGACCUGUGCCUCCUUGGAGUGAAGCCCUAAGCUACUGACCAAGUUCUGUCUACACGUAGGACGUGGAGACCCUGGUAGAGACCCGGCCUGGCCUCUGUCCUGGAAGACUCCGUGCCUGCGUCUGAAUGUCAGUGCUCAGACGUCUGGGGUCUGGAGCUGAGGUUCCACAUCCCUGGGGCUUCUGGAGACUCCUCAGGUGAGCUACCUGGUAAUUAUGCCAAUUCACCAGCACGAGCAUGGAAAGAAGGAGCAGGUUUACCUUCGCAGCUGAUUGCAGGGCACAUGAAUCAGGCAAAAAGCCAACGAGCAGCAGGUGAGGUUGCUGCUGGGCUCUCCUUCCAGUAGACUGUCCAUACUCUGCAGAGACCAGACCUGCCCCUCGUCUUCCAGCCCAGCGUCUGGCGUGUUUUCACAGCAUCUCAGCAGGACAACGAAAGGCCGAGACUGCCAGCACCAAGGCCUGUUGAUAAUUUAUGGUUUGCACCUGGUGCAACUUUAAGCAACUUCAGUAGCCGACCCUGUCUUUUUUGUGGUUAAUCUGAAGAAGGAAUUCAUAGGGCCAGGACUCCAUCUCAGGCCUGUCCGUGCUGAUCGUGCUCGGCUGCCUCUCCAGUGGACUCUGAACUCUCUGCUUAGUGCCUGUGGGAACGACAAUGGAAGGAUAAGACCCCCUCCAGACAGGGGAAUCUUGAAGAUCACAUCCAGGUUACUCAUUGCCCAAGAGGAAACAUACCGUAAUCACCCCUGUCUCCGGACAGGUCAUAAACUUUUUCUGUAUUUAUCAGGAUGUAAUCACAGGCUUAUCGAUUAUUAACUGGUUGGAACGUGAUCACAAGCUUAUUGAUUAUUAACUGUUUGGAAUGUAACUGCAGGCUUAUUGAUUAUUGACUGUUUGAACACAUAACAUGUGAAUGAUGCGGUUAUUGUAGUUGUAUUUACCCUACCUUUGUUUAUGUAAGUCUCAAGGGAAUUGGGGUGGUGGGUUUGGACACGUACACAUGGGGUAUAAAAGACUUUCACAAAUGCUGGUCGGGGUCCUUG